GACGAACGCUGGCGGCGUGCUUAACACAUGCAAGUCGAACGGAAAGGCCCUGAUUUUGUGGGGUGCUCGAGUGGCGAACGGGUGAGUAACACGUGAGUAACAUGCCCUUGACUUUGGGAGAACUUCAGGAAACUGGGGCUAAUACCGGAUAGGAGCUCCUGCUGCAUGGGGGGGGUCGGAAAGAGUCGGUGGUUGGGGAUGGACUAGCGGUUUAUCAGCUUGUUGGUGGGGUAGUGGCGUACCAAGGCUUUGAUGGGUAGCCGGCCUGAGAGGGUGACCGGGUCCAGUGGGCUUGGGAAAGGGGCAAGAGGCAUACGGGAGGAAGGAGUGGGAAAUAUUGGGCAAUGGGCCGCAGCAGGAAGGAGCGACGUCGCGUGCGGGAUGACUGUUUUCGGGUUGGAACCUGCUUUCGCGUGUCACGAAGCGUGAGGGACGGUACUGGUCAAAGAAGCACGGCCUAAUUACGU
rnacentral:rRNA from 1 species